AUUGAACGCUGGCGGAAUGCUUUACACAUGCAAGUCGAACGGUAGAGGGGGCAACCCUUGAGAGUGGCGAACGGGUGAGUAAUAUAUCGGAACGUGCCCAGUCGUGGGGGAUAACGUAGUGAAAAUUACGCUAAUACCGCAUACGAUCUAAGGAUGAAAGCGGGGGAUCGCAAGACCUUGCGCGAUUGGAUAUGCCCAGGUGGGAUUAGCUUGUUGGUGAGGUAAUGGCUCACCAAGGCGACGAUCCCUAGCUGGUCUGAGAGGAUGAUCAGCCACACUGGAACUGAGACACGGUCCAGACUCCUACGGGAGGCAGCAGUGGGGAAUAUUGCACAAUGGGGGAAACCCUGAUGCAGCCAUGCCGCGUGUGUGAAGAAGGCCUUCGGGUUGUAAAGCGCUUUCAGCGAGGAGGAAAGGUUGAUGCCUAAUACGCAUCAGCUGUGACGUUACUCGCAGAAGAAGCACCGGCUAACUCCGUG
rnacentral:rRNA from 1 species